GACGAACGCUGGCGGCGUGCCUAAUACAUGCAAGUUGAGCGCUGAAGGUUGGUACUUGUACCAACUGGAUGAGCAGCGAACGGGUGAGUAACGCGUGGGGAAUCUGCCUUUGAGCGGGGGACAACAUUUGGAAACGAAUGCUAAUACCGCAUAAAAACUUUAAACACAAGUUUUAAGUUUGAAAGAUGCAAUUGCAUCACUCAAAGAUGAUCCCGCGUUGUAUUAGCUAGUUGGUGAGGUAAAGGCUCAUCAAGGCGAUGAUACAUAGCCGACCUGAGAGGGUGAUCGGCCACAUUGAGACUGAGACACGGCCCAAACUCCUACGGGAGGCAGCAGUAGGGAAUCUUCGGCAAUGGACGAAAGUCUGACCGAGCAACGCCGCGUGAGUGAAGAAGGUUUUCGGAUCGUAAAACUCUGUUGGUAGAGAAGAACGUUGGUGAGAGUGGAAAGCUCAUCAAGUGACGGUAACUACUCAGAAAGGGACGGCUAACUACGUG
rnacentral:rRNA from 1 species